CACCUCGGCUGGUGGCGCACCUUAGCCGCCUGCUGCGACACCUCAGCCCCGUGGCCGACCGGCGUCGGCCAGCCGCCGCUCAGGACCGUUGCGGCGUGACGCCGCUGGCCAAACGUUUGCCGAAGUUAUGGCCAAGUCACCCGGUUAGAGAGGAGGGAACUGAAGUAAUCAGCUCUUCAGCGACCUCGACAAGAAGCACUCGACAGACCAUGCACCCGCCAAGAUCAGGGAAGCUGAACAUUCUGGCCCGGCAGCGGCCGUUCGUGCUGGCAACAGUGAGCCGUCCACCAGAGGGCGCUGGUCCCGCGCACGUCCCUCAGACCGCAGCCAUGUAGUCAGCUGACGCGCACCUUCCGGCAGACCCGUCCCGCCUCAGCCGCAUGCCAGGGUGCAGCGCAGCGCCCUCGCCCGGGCGGCACGCGCCCGCCGGGCCAUCUGGCGGUGGG